UACGUAGGGCGCAAGCGUUGUCCGGAAUUAUUGGGCGUAAAGAGCGUGUAGGCGGCCCGAUAAGUCCGCUGUGAAAGUCCAGGGCUCAACCCUGGGAUGCCGGUGGAUACUGUCGGGCUCGAGUCCGGAAGAGGAGUGUGGAAUUCCUGGUGUAGCGGUGAAAUGCGCAGAUAUCAGGAGGAACACCAAUGGCGAAGGCAGCACUCUGGGACGUGACUGACGCUGAGACGCGAAAGCGUGGGGAGCAGACAGG
rnacentral:rRNA from 1 species